rnacentral:lncRNA from 1 species
CCCGGACCCGGAGGUCGCGGAGAGCUGGGCAGUGUUGGCCGCUGGCGGAGCGCUGGGGCAGCAUGAAGUGCCUGGUCACGGGCGGCAACGUGAAGGGUGAGUGCAGGUCGGCCUGGCAGCGGCGGUGCAGCAGCCGCGGAGCCGCCAGCCUAACCCCCUUCCGCUCUUCUCCCCGCAGUGCUCGGCAAGGCCGUCCACUCCCUGUCCCGCAUCGGGGACGAGCUCUACCUGGAACCCUUGGAGGACGGGCUCUCCCUCCGGACGGUGAACUCCUCCCGCUCUGCCUAUGCCUGCUUUCUCUUUGCCCCGCUCUUCUUCCAGCAAUACCAGGCAGCCACCCCUGGUCAGGACCUGCUGCGCUGUAAGAUCCUGAUGAAGUCUUUCCUGUCUGUCUUCCGCUCACUGGCGAUGCUGGAGAAGACGGUGGAAAAAUGCUGCAUCUCCCUGAAUGGCCGGAGCAGCCGCCUGGUGGUCCAGCUGCAUUGCAAGUUCGGGGUGCGGAAGACUCACAACCUGUCCUUCCAGGACUGUGAGUCCCUGCAGGCCGUCUUCGACCCAGCCUCGUGCCCCCACAUGCUCCGCGCCC